CCAGAACAGGCAAAGUUUUCACUUCCGUUCUCAGAACGUAACUUAUGGUUAUGUUCCCAGAACCAAUGGGAAAUCCAAAACUUAUGUUCCCACAACUACCAAGGAACCAAAUGUGCUAGCUGGGUAGAAGCCUAGAAACCAAAUAAACAUUAUCUGGGAAGAGGAGUGGCAGCAGAGAAACGAAACUUGGACAGACUGCUGAAAACAAAACUGAAGGGAAAGAAGAAACGUUGUGUGGCACAGAGCCACAGCCCGAUCACGCCCACACACACAAUGCAGGCUGAGGGUGUUAGCUGCUUUCCUGUGGCUCUCAGCAUUGCAAUGACAGAUGAGGAGGAGGGGAGUGUUUUUUCAAGGUAUAAAAGGGGGUUACAAUGUUUGAUCUGUCCUUUUUAUCCUGCGGAGCCCUCCGCUUAAGGAUUUGGGACUGGUGACCCUCUGUCAGGUCACUAUGGAGUUCCCACUCUGUCUGCUUGCUGUGUAUUUUCUUUCUUGUCCCACAGUGAAGAGGAGGAGAGGAGGAGGAGGAAAGGAGAUGAAAAGCCUGCUCCCAAGGGCAGAGCCAGGAGCUGCAGAUCAGCUGAUCCGCAGCGACCUUGACGCACCGACGAACCCAAGCACCAGACACCUGAAGACACCUGAGACGACUAGAUGAAGCUCAUCCGAAGCACAAAGCUUAUAUUACUUACCUGAAUACUUAAACGAAAUGUACCCUAGAAUGCCGCCAGAUGAAGAACCAUUCUUUUCUUUUUUUGGUUGGCUUCUGGUUGUCUGCGUUGCUUGGUUUCGGCGGGUCAUGGGGGGCCUGCUGAAGAAAACGCAUUCCCAAAUACACUACAAUGCUGAACGCAUAAUUUCCAUGAAAAUUUAAAAUUUUAAAUAAAAAUUUAAAAAAACAUUGCAACAUGAACAACCUUAUCUGUGCCGUUUGUUCUGUAGUUGUCAUUUUGGGUAUUUAUACACUGAUAUUGAUGCCACAUUGCAGAGAACAGCUGUUUUAACAUCGCAAAUAAUACUUACAGUUGGUAGUGUAGUGCAAGUAAAUAAUAUCCAAGCCACUUGAAACAUCUUUAAACUCAUACAUACUGACAAUUUAAUAUCCGUCUCAGAGCAUUAUUUUGUUUGACUUUUUUCUACUUCGUUUUAUGUAGGCC
ensembl:lncRNA